rnacentral:rRNA from 1 species
UACGGGGGGGGCAAGCGUUGUUCGGAAUUACUGGGCGUAAAGGGCUCGUAGGCGGCCAACUAAGUCGGAUGUGAAAUCCCCCAGGCUCAACCUGGGAACUGCAUCCGAUACUGGAUGGCUUGAAUUCGGGAGAGGGAUGCAGAAGUUCCAGGUGUAGCGGUGAAAUGCGUAGAUAUCUGGAGGAACAUCUGUGGCGAAGGCGACUGCCUGGACCAGCACUGACACUGAGGCACGAAAGCGUGGGGAGCAAACAGG